rnacentral:rRNA from 1 species
AUACGGAGGGUGCAAGCGUUAUUCGGAAUCACUGGGCGUAAAGGACGCGUAGGCGGGUUGGCAAGUCAGACGUGAAAUCCUACAGCUUAACUGUAGAACUGCAUUUGAAACUGCUAACCUAGAGUAUGUGAGGGGGAGAUGGAAUUAGUGGUGUAGGGGUAAAAUCCGUAGAUAUCACUAGGAAUACCGAAAGCGAAGGCGAUCUCCUGGAACAUAACUGACGCUAAGGCGUGAAAGCGUGGGGAGCAAACAGUAUUAGAAACCCUAGUAGUCC